UACGAAGGGGGGCUAGCGUUGCUCGGAAUCACUGGGCGUAAAGGGGUGCGUAGGCGGGUCUUUUAAGUCAGGGGUGAAAUCCUGGAGCUCAACUCCAGAACUGCCUUUGAUACUGAAGAUCUUGAGUUCGGGAGAGGUGAGUGGAACUGCGAGUGUAGAGGUGAAAAUUGUAGAUAUUCGCAAGAACACCAGUGGCGAAGGCGGCUCACUGGCCCGAUACUGACGCUGAGGCACGAAAAGCGUGGGGAGCAAACAGG
rnacentral:rRNA from 1 species